AGAUAAGUAGUGUAAAUCGCACAAUUAAUUUUCAUUUAAUUAGAAUAUAAAUAUAUCUAUCUG
rnacentral:tRNA from 1 species